rnacentral:rRNA from 1 species
AUUCCAGCUCCAAUAGCGUAUAUUAAAGUUGUUGUGGUUAAAAAGCUCGUAGUUGGAUCUCAACAGCCUUGAAGCGGUUAACUUUGUAGUUUUACUGCUUUGUAGGUUGUGCUUUUGCUGGAGGUUUAGGGGUGCUCUUGAUCGAGUGUCUCUGGAUGCCAGCAGGUUUACUUUGAAAAAAUUAGAGUGCUCAAAGCAGGCUAAAAUGCCUGAAUAUUCGUGCAUGGAAUAAUAGAAUAGGAUGUCGAUCCUAUUUUGUUGGUUUUCGGGACUCGACAUAAUGAUAAAUAGGGACAGUCGGGGGCAUUUGUAUUCAAACGACAGAGGUGAAAUUCUUGGACCGUUUGAAGACAAACUACUGCGAAAGCAUUUGCCAAGAAUGUUUUCAUUAAUCAAGAACGAAAGUUAGAGGUUCGAAGGCGAUCAGAUACCGCCCUAGUUCUAACCAUAAACGAUGCCAGCUAGCGAUCUGCGGGUGUGUAAAAACAAGACCCCGCAGGGAGCUUCCGGGAAACCAAAGCUUGUGGGUUCCGGGGGAAGUAUGGUUGCAAAGCUGAAACUUAAAGGAAUUGACGGAAGGGCACCACCAGGAGUGGAGCCUGCGGCUUAAUUUGACUCAACACGGGAAAUCUCACCAGGCCCGGACACCGGAAGGAUUGACAGAUUGAGAGCUU